rnacentral:lncRNA from 1 species
CUACACCAUUGAAAGUUAAGUCCAUCAAAGUUCUUUAAAGAGAGAAAAAGAAUAGAGAGAACACUAUAUUGAAAACAUCAGAGAUAAAAUGGCAGACAUAGCAAUUUUGGUAGCAGAAGAAUAUGGAAGGAGGGUUAAUAUUUCAAGAAAAAAUGGUGAAAACAUUGAUUUUUUCUCAUGCGUGGCAGUAUUGGGUCAGAGGAUUGAAGCUGGGUCUUCUUCUUGGAUGAAGAAAAAGCUUAAAGAUGAGAAAUUAAUGGAGUUUUUACAGAUUAAAGGGUUUCUUUUGGAGCCCAAAAGCCAGAUGAGUCUUGCAGCUAGUAAUGGUCUCUUUUCUGCUUAAGAAGUUCCCUUUUUUCCUUCUUGGAGUCGUAUAUAUUUUCACUUUUCUAAGCAAUUAUCUUUAGGUUAAAGCUUUUAUGUACAGAGAUUUUUUUAUAGAAGUCUUAUCGGCCCCUCACAUGUGGUCAGUCCCACGUGGGCUCUGUUGUAAUAAAAAAUGAAGAAAAAAAUCUCGACUCCACCCUUUUGUGAGAACCUAUAAGGGUUCUGUAACGUGCUGGGCUGUACGCCCAGCAUUGCCGUUAUCUUUAUCAUCUAUCAUCCCAAAAUUCUCGUAUUAUUACAUCUAGUUGAGCAUCAAACUACUGGAUACAAUAUAUUUAGUUAAAUAAAUUUUGUGACUUUGUAUUUAAAUCACUCUAUCAUUUAAUGUCAUAUAAUCGUCGUUUAGACUGAUAUUUAACACUAGUGAUGAUGAUUG